CAUGUUUGUUUAAUUUGUGUGGAGAUGGAAAGUGUGUAAGAGAUGGCUCCGACUUUAAGUGUCAAUGCAAUGAAGGCUCAGCCAAUAUUCUUAAUGAUCCUAAGAUGUUUUGCUUGAAAAAAUGUGGCGUAGGAGGAGAUUGUGCUGGUAUAGAUCUUGGUGGGUUCUUCACACCAGAAGUUCCACCUCCACCUCCACCUUCACCUCCACCUCCAAAUUCAGGAACUGGGUCAGGUGAAAUGCUGAACUGCUCAAAGAAACUUUAUAUGCUGGCUAUAAUGAUCUUAGCAAUAAUAUCUCAAAACUGGAUUUGAAAGGGAGCAUUGAAGUGCUUGUAGACUAUUUCAAAGGAACACAUAAUAUUUAUAAAUAUGUCAAAGCUGGAAUUUAAUGCAGUUAUUUUUAUUAUUUUUUUGUUUCCAUUUUCCAUAUAAGUGUCCUUUUUCAUUUUAAUAAUAUAGUAGUUCUGAUAUGUGAUCAUUUAAUAAAUUUGAUUGAUUAUCUAUGUAUUCUGUUUCACUCAUGAAACUUGAUCCUCCAAAGAAAUA